AGUGAACGCUGGCGGUAGGCCUAACACAUGCAAGUCGAACGGCAGCACAGUAAGAGCUUGCUCUUACGGGUGGCGAGUGGCGGACGGGUGAGGAAUACAUCGGAAUCUACUUUUUCGUGGGGGAUAACGUAGGGAAACUUACGCUAAUACCGCAUACGACCUACGGGUGAAAGCAGGGGAUCUUCGGACCUUGCGCGAUUGAAUGAGCCGAUGUCGGAUUAGCUAGUUGGCGGGGUAAAGGCCCACCAAGGCGACGAUCCGUAGCUGGUCUGAGAGGAUGAUCAGACACACUGUAACUGAGACACGGUCCAGACUCCUACGGGAGGCAGCAGUGGGGAAUAUUGGAGAAUGGGCGCAAGCCUGAUCCAGCCAUACCGCGUGGGUGAAGAAGGCCUUCGGGUUGUAAAGCCCUUUUGUUGGGAAAGAAAAGCAGCAGGUUAAUACCCCGCUGUUCUGACGGUACCCAAAGAAUAAGCACCGGCUAACUUCGUG
rnacentral:rRNA from 1 species